AGCCUAAGUAGUUUAACGGUUAAAACACUGAUUUCAUACAUUAGUAAUAAAAGUUCGAUUCUUUUCUCAGGCUUC
rnacentral:tRNA from 1 species